rnacentral:rRNA from 1 species
UUCCGGUUGAUCCCGCCGGAGAUAACCGUUAUCAGGGUUCGAUUAAGCCAUGCGAGGCGCGAGCUAUCUGGGCUCGCCGCACUGCUCAGUAACACGUAGUUAACUUGCCCUUGGGUGGGGGAUAAUCUUGCGAAAGUGAGGCUAAUACCCCAUAGAUUGCGGAGGCUGGAAUGCACUGCAAUUCAAAGCUCCGGCGCCCAAGGAUAGGACUGCGGCGUAUCAAGGUCGUUGUCAGUGUAAAGAACUGACAAGCCGAUAACGCGUAGGGGCCAUGAGAGUGGGAGCCUCGAGAUGCGCUCUGAGACAUGAGCGCAGGUCCUACGGGACGCAGCAGGCGCGAAAACUUUCCAAUUGCUUCACGGCUGAGAAGGGAACCUUGAGUGGAUAUGCUAUUGCAUAUUCUUUUGCCAAGUCCAAAUAGCUUGGCGAAUAAGGGCUGGGUAAGACGGGUGCCAGCCGCCGCGGUAAUACCCGCGGCCCGAAUGGUUAUCGCGUUUAUUGGGUCUAAAGCGUCCGUAGCCGGUUAGGCAAGUCCCUUGUGAAAUCUGGCAGCAAACUGUCAGGCGUGCUGGGGAUACUACCAAACUUGGGAUCGGGAAAGGGACAAGGUAUUCCGCGUGUAGGGGUUAAAUCCUUUAAUCCGCGGAGGACCACCUGUGGCGAAGGCGUUGUCCUGGAACGAGUCCGACGGUGAGGGACGAAAGCUGGGGGAGCGAAUGGGAUUAGAUACCCCAGUAGUCCCAGCUGUAAACAAUGCCCGUUUGGUGUUGCAGUUCUUACGAGGAACUGCAGUGCCGGAGCGUAGGUGUUAAACGGGCCACCUGGGGAGUACGGCCGCAAGGUUGAAACUUAAGGGAAUUGGCGGGGGAGCACACAAGGGGUGGAGGCUGCGGUUCAAUUGGAUUCAACGCCGGACAUCUUACCAUGGCCGACGGCAGAAUGAAGGUCAACCCAACGGGUUUACCAGACAAGCCGAGAGCAGUUGCAUGGCCAUUGUCAGCUCGUACCUUGAGGCGUGCCGUUAAGUCGGUUAACGAGCGAGACCCACACCGUCAGUUGCAACCAUAUCGUCUCCAAGCAAUUGGAAGCCGAUGUGAGCACUCUGGCGGGACCGCCACUGCUAAAGUGGAGGAAAGUUUAUCUAGUCAUAUGAGAAAACUGUAUGGUGAGAAGUUGACAAAAGCAAGCGGAGCUGCGGUUCUGAGAAAAUACGGACCAGAAUAUUUUCGUGAGAUUCGUAAAAAAGUAAAGAAGGGUUCGCUAAGAAGUUCUGGGAGAAAGGGUGGCCUAAGUUUCAUAAAGAAAUACGGAAAUGAAAAACUCAAGGAAGCCGCUAAACGCGGCAAUGAAACAUUUAAAGCAAGAAUUUCUUCCGAUGCAGAACUUCGAGAGCGCUAUAGAAAAUAUUUCAUAGAAAAGAUGAAAAAGUUUACGAAAAUAUACGAAACUGAAUCUGGCAUCCUUGUACGUUCCAAAACUGAACAGAAGGUUGCAAACUUCCUAACAACCAAUGGAAUAAAAUUCGAAUAUGAAAGUUUGCGCUUUCCGACAGAACAUGGAAUUUAUGAACCAGAUUUUGUCAUAGGAAACAAAAUAAUCGAAGUAUUUGGCAUGGAUGCGGACUUCUAUAUAAGAAAGAAAUCUCAGAAAUUGCAGGCAGUAAUAAAAUCCUAUCCAGAUUUAAAAUGGAUAGUGCUUAACAAGACAAAGGAAAAGAUUGGAAACUGUCUUGUUGUUAAUAAUUUGAUACAACUUCUCAGGGCAGUUCGAGGCUAAUAGACCCUUAAGGAGUGGGCGACAGUAGGUCCGUAUGGCGCGGAUGCCAUGGGCUACACGCGGCCUACAAUGCGUCAGACAAUGCGAUGCAACGCCGAAAGGCGAAGCUAAUCGCCCAAACUGACGCUCAGUUCAGAUUGCGGGCUGCAACUCGCCCGCAUGAAGCCGGAAUCCCUAGUAGGCGGGCGUCAUAAUCGCUCGCCGAAUACGUCCCUGCUCUUUGCACACACCGCCCGUC